GCGGCGAUGAUGAUUGGCGCAGGGGUACGGACCUCAGCUGGAUCAUGGGAGCUGAAUGUGAGCCGGGCCUUCCCUGUGGGGCGGACGUGUGGUCUGCCGCCGGGGAGCACGUUCACAUGAGAAUUUCGCCAGACACUGAGCCGC